GAGCCAGUCAAUUAAUCUACUUAUCUGAACAUAUUUCUUCAGAAGUUUAGGAAAAGCUGGCAAUAGUGAUGCCAUGUUAUGAGCCUUAAGGCCAACUGAAGUCAUUAAGGUCCCUGAAAAUGGUUACAAUA
ensembl:snoRNA